CGGCGGAUCUCGGCGCGCCUGCGCAUCUGCGGGGCGCGGACCCAGGUGUCCAGUCUCUGUGGCUCUCACCGGCCCAGAUCGCGGGGCCGCGGGAGGACGCCCUGGAUACCCAGAACCUGGGCGGAGAUGGGGGAGAAGGGUCUGCUGCACGAGGCACAGGGGGCUCUGCAGGAAGGGGGACAUCUGACCCCAAGAUCUGCAAGCGUUUCAAGAGUUGGGCAGAGUUUCUUUUACACAGAGGCUUAAACAACACCAGGAAGGACCAGUUCCCCAGCCAGGGAUCGAACCCUCACCGCCU